rnacentral:lncRNA from 1 species
CCUUCCUUUACAACACAAUGGUAAAGUGAAAUUGGAAAUUUCACUAUAAGGCAACAAGUAAGAAAUUUGCUCUAAAAGAAGCCGGACGUGGUGGCGCAUGCCUGUGAUCCCAGCACUUGGGAGGCUGAGAUAGGAGGAUCACCAUGAGUUUGAGGCCAACUUGGGCUACAUAGUGAGUUCAAGGCCAGUCUGAAUUACAGAGCAAGACUCUGUGCCGGGGCGGGGGCGGGGGGGGAGGCUCUAAGAGCGAAUUUAGUUUCAUCACUGUUGGCAAGUCAACAUCACUGUUGGGACUCGCUGGGCUGCUGUCCACUUUACUAAGGAGCCUGAAAACUGGCCACUAUCCUUUCAGUAUACAAACACUAAAAUCAUCUAGACUUUAAAAUAGUUUUCCAAUUGAAAUACCAAUCAUUUCAUAAAGCAAUCAACACAGCUGUGGACAUAACUCAGAAUUUCAGUGACAAGGAACUCAUACACAGCUGUCAGCACCUUAAAGAAAAUGGUCUACUGCAGGGGCCAAACCCAACCUAGUCCAGUCACAGACUCCAUUCGAGUACCGGCUGCAGCUGGGUCCACAUGAAACGGAGGCGCUGAGGAGCUACCAGAGACCAUGGAACCUGGGAACCCAACAUUACCUUGCAGAAGGCUUUCCAAACAGAAUCAGAAUAGAUCUGCUCUUUUGAGAAAUUUGUUGCAGGAAAAAUUUGCUCAGGUAGAUUUGAAAUAUAUAUAUACAUAUAUACAACAUAUACAUAUCAUAUAUACAUUACAUACAUGUCAUAUAUGUGUAUAGCACACGAGUAAAGCAUCAAAUUUCAAAAGUAAAAUGAUUUAAAUUAAUAUUGGUAAUUGCUGACUUCUUAGUCUUAUUUUCUGCUUAUAUCUUGUGCCAAUGGUCUAAGCGUUCCUUGACCAGGAUUUAAUGAGGUAAAAUGUUUCAAAAAAUUGGGGUAUUGGGCCAGGGAUUUAGCUCAGUGGUUCUGCCGCCUGCCCAGCAAGCGCAAGGACCCAAGUUUGAUCCCCGGUACCAAAAAAAAAAAAAAAUAGGUGUUUUAAAAAAGGAGUAUGAAUAUGUAAAGGAGAUUGAGUUUUUUGUGAAAAUUUUCCUUAUAGAUGAAUUAGUUUUUCUCCUCAUGAAAAUCCUGAGAUUAUCUAAAAUAG